UCGAAGGUUCUUAUUUUACGUUUUCAAGAAGGUCUUACAACAUUCAUCUUGCCCAUCAUUUUCAUCGGACAAAAUUGUGCAUCCAGAGACAUACCUAAGCAAAUAGAAAUAACAGGGCCAAGUAAAAGAUGCCUCACACCGGACGAUCCAAAAGUAUUGCUAUUCUGGUGAAUGAGCAGCUUCCCGAUGCCGACAAUUCUAAUGGACAAAUACCAUAAACAACAAGGAUACCUGGUGUUGCUGAAAUGCACCAACUUCUCAUGGUGCAGACACAGAUGGACGUUAGAUCUUACAGUACGACGUUACAGUUAUCCAGAUGUGGAGCUUUCAUCCGGACUUGGUAGGCCCUCAUGCUUUCGAGGCUGUCUACUGUUAUUAUCUAGCGUAGA